GGAUGAACGCUGGCGGCGUGCCUAAUACAUGCAAGUCGAGCGAACAGACGAGGAGCUUGCUCCUCUGACGUUAGCGGCGGACGGGUGAGUAACACGUGGAUAACCUACCUAUAAGACUGGGAUAACUUCGGGAAACCGGAGCUAAUACCGGAUAAUAUAUUGAACCGCAUGGUUCAAUAGUGAAAGACGGUUUUGCUGUCACUUAUAGAUGGAUCCGCGCCGCAUUAGCUAGUUGGUAAGGUAACGGCUUACCAAGGCAACGAUGCGUAGCCGACCUGAGAGGGUGAUCGGCCACACUGGAACUGGGACACGGUCCAGACUCCUACGGGAGGCAGCAGUAGGGAAUCUUCCGCAAUGGGCGAAAGCCUGACGGAGCAACGCCGCGUGAGUGAUGAAGGUCUUCGGAUCGUAAAACUCUGUUAUUAGGGAAGAACAAAUGUGUAAGUAACUAUGCACGUCUUGACGGUACCUAAUCAGAAAGCCACGGCUAACUACGUG
rnacentral:rRNA from 1 species